rnacentral:tRNA from 1 species
GAGGGCAUAGCUCACUGGUAAGCGCAUGCUUGGUGUGCAUGAAGUCUUGGGUUCAAUCCCCAUUGCCUCUG